rnacentral:rRNA from 1 species
AAUCAACGCUGGCGGCGUGCCUAACACAUGCAAGUCGCACGAGAAAGGGUCUUCGGAUCUGAGUAAAGUGGCGCACGGGUGAGUAACACGUGAAUUAUCUACCUUCGAGUGGGGAAUAACUACGGGAAACCGAGGCUAAUACCGCAUAAUAUCUACGGAUCAAAGCAGUAAUGCGCUUGAAGAGGAGUUCGCGGCAGAUUAGUUAGGUGGCGGGGUAAUGGGCCACCAAGACGAUGAUCUGUAUCCGGCCUGAGAGGGCGAACGGACACACUGGAACUGAAACACGGUCCAGACUCCUACGGGAGGCAGCAGUGGGGAAUUUUGCGCAAUGGGGGAAACCCUGACGCAGCAACGCCGCGUGGAGGAUGAAGUCUCUUGGGACGUAAACUCCUUUCGAUAGGGAAGAUUAUGACGGUACCUAUAGAAGAAGCCCCGGCUAACUUCGUGCCAGCCGCCGCAGUAA